rnacentral:rRNA from 1 species
GAUGCCACACCCUAUCCCAGCCGCAGCCGCCGCCGCCGUCGCCGCCGCCGCCGCUGCAACCGCCGCCUUCGAUUCCGUGAAAUUGGAGGGGAAGACAAUUGGAUCUGUCUGCCGCAGGAGGAGUGGGGAGAAAUAGAAUGAAGGCGCGACAGUUCCUGAAUGUUGUGAUGGAGAGGUAUGGCACUGGCGGUGCCGGUGGCAGCUUGUAUACGGUCAGUCGCAUCAACGCCAAGGAACACCUCUUCUACCGAUCCACGGCCGAAGCACAGGCAGCAGAAAAAUCAAGGUUCGAUAUGGAGUGCCCAUCAUCAGCCGUUGUGCCACCAUGGAUGGAGACCAUCUCGCGGAUGCCUCCGUCCAAGCUCAGAUUCGAGCGGUCCACCUCAGACAACAAAAGACUGGAUUUCCUGCCCUUCCAUGAACGAGGCAGCGGUGCUGCGAGCAAGAUCCUCUGCGUGGACGCCGCUGGCCACACCGCCCUAUACGACAUGGACGCCGGUUCGGUCCAGCCAAUUCCAUGCCUCAACAGUCCCAAGGGGAGCAGGCCCAUCAGCUUCUCCACCACCAAUCCCGAAGCCUCUGACCGUGAACGUGCUGAUGCCUUCUACGUUAUGGGAAGGUUCCCUUCCAGCUAUGACCCCUACAACUUCGAGGUACUCAUGUACAGUAACCCUUCUAAUGGCAGGACGAUGAAAGGCUGGAAUUGGCUCAAGCUACCAACACCACCUGCCUAUGCUGACAAUUGCAUUGUCAAUUCCCAUGCGCUGCUUGAAAUUGAAGGUGACUCAAUUCUUGUUGUCUCCUCCGGAGAAGAAAGCCUUGGCACCUACUGCUUCAACACAGCCAGUCGCAAGUGGUUUAAGGCUGGCUCCUGGACACUGCCAUUCCUCAGUCGUGCUGUGCAUGUACCAGAGCUGGACAACCUCUUAUUUGGCAUUGCCAGCGAUGCACCCAACCACUUUUGUGCAAUGGGUAUCUCCCGUCUUCUCUCGAAGAGGUGUCCACCUUUAGUGUACAGUUGGCCACACCUUGAUCUGCCCGAGGACUGGAUAAUGCAAGAUUGCAGCUUUGUGUACUUGGGAAAUGGGAGGUUUUGCAUCACCAAAGUCUUUGAGUUUGGUCUGGACGAAGACACUGGCAACACGACUGAGAUGGGUGCUGUGAUGUCUGGCGUGGAGGUAGUGCAUCACAAGAAGUCUGGACUCAUCAUGGUCAACCAUAGGUCCAAAUUCUACAGGUUCUUCAGGGAUGACAUCCAAUGUGUCUUGUAAGGUAACUUGGUGAAAGGGGAGCAACACGGGUUUUUCCAGGAGGAUUGGAAUUGUCUGUCUUCCCCUUUCCAUCAGUAUCUAGUAGCUACAACUUCUGCUAUGUUAGUUUUUGGGCAGUAGUGCUCAUUUCCUUCAGUAUGUUGUAUCACUAUAUUUGCUGCCGUUGCUGUAUACAUAGCUUCUUAGGUGCUUUUAUUUUAUUAUUAGAUGGACUAGAAUCUUGAUGAAAUUAUGAUAUGGUUUAUAACUGGUAAAAGCCUGAAUGGUUUGAAAAGUUGGAGCGUUCAUAUGAUGUUUAGUGAUCAUGCACAUUAUCGGAUGGAAAUGCCAUUUUUUUUUGAUGCAGCAAUCCUGUAUCUUACACUCCUCCCCUCCCUUAUAACCCCUCGGCACCACCAUGAUCGCAUCGCUUAUGAUCCGCCGCUACUGGGUCGUCGUUCUCUGCAAACGUGUGCAGUUCUCCGUGCACCAUGCACUGCUGCCGACCGCUGCCUUCACCACCUCCGGUGGAUGCCGUUGUGCUCGGCUCAAAGGAAGUCCACAUACCCCCCGGGGCUGCACAAACCGUCAACUCCACCUCCUGAAGUCUAAAACCACUUUCUUAAUGCCCUAACCUUUCCAAUAGCAUUUAAAUGACCCCUAAACCGGAUUAGAGCUGUUUUUAGCAGGCUGUUUUUCCACUCUGGCCUGGGUGUCGCUAGUAGCCGAGCAAAUGACCCCCUCGAACCCCGCUUUGGCUUCUCCAUCUAUGACGACGAGACAGCGGGUGGAUGCGAUGAUCGCCGCCUGAUCAGAGUACACACGACAACGCGCAGUUUAGGCGAUCACUCCCAAUGUUAAGGCGUCGGUAAAAUUUUGAUUUUUGGGAAGAUUGCGGCUGUUUGGUGCUGCGGUUAGGGCAGCGGACAUAGGCGUUUGGGGCCGGCUAACUAGGGUUUGAAAUAUACGCCAAGUUCUGAU